AUCAAGGAUCGGCUCUGAGCCAUUUCCUGUUUGCAGUGGUGAUGGACAGGUUGACGGACGAGUUCAUUGAGAUGUGUUACCCGACUCGGCCACCAGAGAGCAGUAUAAACCUAAAUUAAAAUAUAAAGACUAGGAAUAUUUGACAUUUACAGCAAUAAGCACCACAGACCUCCUCAAAUCACCUUCAUCAGUACCUGACUUUACUAACCCCCUUGUGACUGAAUGAAUCUCACACAAAUCUCCACAAUGUUCCCAGAAUUUUGAAAGUUAUUAUUGAUAGCAAACGGGGACUAAAUGUUGAAUGUGAUGCUUAAAAAAAAUGCACAUAUGUCAUAUAUCUUAUCAGUUUUCAUUAUGCAAAUGGGCCGUAUUGUACUCCUGUAUAAAUAAAAUCAAAUGCAACAUUCAA